rnacentral:rRNA from 1 species
UUGGAGGGCAAGUCUGGUGCCAGCAGCCGCGGUAAUUCCAGCUCCUAUAGCGUAUAUUAAAGUUGUUGCAGUUAAAAAGCUCGUAGUUGAAUUUCGGGAUUGACGUGAUGGUCAUGCCUUAAGGGGUAUGAACUGUCACUGUUGAUUUCUCACCUUCUGGAGAAACUUGAUGUCCUUUAUUGGGUGUCUUGCGGAUCCAGGACCUUUACCUUGAAAAAAUUAGAGUGUUUAAAGCAGGCAUUUUUGCUCGAAUACAUUAGCAUGGAAUAAUAGAAUAGGACGGCAUGGUUCUAUUUUGUUGGUUUCUAGGAUCACCGUAAUGAUUAAUAGGGAUAGUUGGGGGCAUUAGUAUUCAAUUGUCAGAGGUGAAAUUCUUGGAUUUAUUGAAGACUAACUACUGCGAAAGCAUUUGCCAAGGAUGUUUUCAUUAAUCAAGAACGAAAGUUAGGGGAUCGAAGACGAUCAGAUACCGUCGUAGUCUUAACCAUAAACUAUGCCGACUAGGAAUCAGACGAUGUUAAUUUUUUAAUGACUCGUUUGGCACCUUACGGGAAACCAAAGUGUUUGGGUUC